rnacentral:tRNA from 1 species
GCGGGGGUGCGCCACAGAAAAGGCGCGAAAGCUGACAGCUGAAGCUGAAGCUGAUGACGCCGGUGACAGUGCGGGUUCGAAUCCCGCCCUCCGCA